rnacentral:lncRNA from 1 species
GCUUGUCUAAAUAAGUGUAAAUAAUUAAGUCGUGACAGUAAAACAGUACCAUCUUGCAUUCUCUGCCCAACUAAGCAGAUGUAUUAAAUCCCAGAAGUAUAGUGCCCUGUUGUCUUUGUUUAUCUCUCUGUUUUACACCAUUCUUGAUACUGAAUGGGAAGCAGAAGGAUGUUAAAAACAUGUUGACAUACGUCUUUCAUUUGCAUGGGAUGAAACUCCUGCUGUAUUGCACAGGUCACUGAUCACAUUUUUUUUUUAAUGUUACAGGUAGUAUCUGGAAAUCUGGGUUCAGGCCAGCUUCUUUGUUGCUACCCUCACAAGGGAAGGGAUGUACAUUUACUGUAAAGUGCUGGUUACUGCCUCUCUGUCAGAUGUGCACGACUACAGCUUUUUGCCUGGGGGCAUGCAUGAUAUCACCCACAAAACUACACUUUAGACACCUGCAUCUGCCUGAAAUGGCAGUAAGGAGUUAUUUUAGCUGCAUUAAAGAGUUAGAAUAGUUUGUUAUCAUUUCCCAGGACUGGGAUGAAUUGAUAGGCAGGCAGGAGAGUGGCUAAUGGGAACCCUGGAGGCACUGCAGAAACAAUUCACUGGGAAUGUGCCCUGAUAGCAAUGCUACUGGACUCCAGGAAGGUGAUGAUUCAGAACACUCUUGGAGCCUCUCACUUUGGGUUUUUCGUGAAUGAGAGGAAGCAAUCAACUUUGUUAGAAUGGCUAAAACUGGGCAAAUUCAGAUUCUAGUUUCUAGAUAUGGAAGAAUCCAACUCAAGGGAGAAGCAGCUUCUGGCAGGUACAGCAGAAAAUUUCUGGCAUGGAAUCUUGGUGAACCAAAUCUGUGAGCCAUUAAGAAUGGAUUACAUUUACAUUUAUAACCUCAUUGAUUCAAAAUCUUUUUCCCUUUCUAAGCAAAUGUUUAAAAACAGAGAAAACCCUCACCCACUAAAGCCUAAAGCCUUUCAAAGGAAAUGGUCAAAGAAAAUUCCCGCACUAAACUCUGGAGAAUAUUUGCUGAUGGGGUCAUUGAUGCUGGAAGGAAUCUAG